ACUGCGAGUGAAGAGGGAAAAGCUCAAAUUUAAAAUCUGGCGGCAUUUAGCCGUCCGAGUUGUAAUCUAGAGAAGUGUUACCCGCGCCGGACCGUGUAUAAGUCUCCUGGAAUGGAGCGUCAUAGAGGGUGAGAAUCCCGUCUUCGACACGGAUCCCCGGGGCUUUGUGGUGCGCUCUCAACGAGUCGAGUUGUUUGGGAAUGCAGCUCAAAAUGGGUGGUAAAUUCCAUCUAAAGCUAAAUAUUGGCGAGAGACCGAUAGCGAACAAGUACCGUGAGGGAAAGAUGAAAAGAACUUUGGAAAGAGAGUUAAACAGUACGUGAAAUUGCUGAAAGGGAAACGCUUGAAGUCAGUCGCGUCGUCUGGAAAUCAACCUUGCUCUUUUGCUGGGCGUACUUUCCAGUUGACGGGCCAGCAUCAGUUUUGACCGGUGGAAAAAGUCCAAGGGAAUGUGGCACCUUCGGGUGUGUUAUAGCCUUUGGUCGUAUACAUCGAUUGGGACUGAGGAACUCAGCACGCCGAAAGGCCGGGUCUUCGGACCACGUUCGUGCUUAGGAUGCUGGCAUAAUGGCUUUAAUCGACCCG
rnacentral:rRNA from 1 species